UGUGGCUCGAACGAUGAAAAAGCGGAAUCAACCAGGGCCCAAAGGAAUCCUCCUUCGGCAAUACGCCACGGUUUGGAGCGGCUCCAAUGUUUAACGAACUGGCUAAACUUGCAGCUCAGUAGAACCUGGCGUUUUCGACCGCAGCAAGGAAUAUGGGACCAUUUCUGAUGAGGAGUAGAAGCGGGUAGCGAUUGCUACUUCCGCUGUUUUCAUGAAGGUGGUCAGGGGAAAUCCUUGGCCACUGCCGAGGUGCAAGAGUUCCGCUUGGCACAUCAGUAUGGAAGAUGUGCCGAUGAACGGAUCUCCCGAUGCGGUCUCGGGCUCUUGUCUAGCUUCCAGUCGAACCCUCCACCCCGGUUGAAAUCGAGGAGAUGUUGCGUUAUUGCAAUCCUUCUGUUCUCACCCAAGACCAGAAAGUGAAAAGGCUGGACAGGACUGAAAAGUCACAUCGGCAAUCUCUGAAACUCCUAAACAAAGAAUCUCUCACUCCUCUCAGUGUCUCUAAGAGGCCAAAAGCUAUGAUUUCGAGAGAGUGAUCCUCAGAAUACUCCCCACGAAAGCCAGAUCUAAUGACACGCUGCCUCCAGUAGGGACGGAAGAGAAGAGCAAAACGGCAUUUCUGAUUUAAAGACAAGGAGACACAAGCUCUGUGCAGCCAGUAAUACAGCAACGAACAUGUCAUUCCCACUAAGCUGCAAAACUAUGCAGGAAAACUCUGGCUUGUCUCAGCCUACAUGCGGCAGGACGACGAAGUGGAGCUACCUUCGGAUCUCUGAGGAGCGCUCUAGUAGAGGCCAGAUGAAGAAGAGCCGGCGUGAUAAUUGACUCGGAUGUCAGCUUUAGGUACUCCGUCGGGGAAGCUCGGACACAAAUGCAAGAAGUGAGCCACUUUUGAAUUUAAAUCAGUGAAAACCUUUCUUUUUGUAAUAGAGCUUCCCCACUUCUUUGACUGCUACCAGAACGGAGGUCCUUCAAGUUACACUAGCCUCUAUGGAUAUUAUUCCCUUAAUUUCGGAAUGGAAAGUUCUAGACGAUCAUUCCCCCUCUGAUCACAGAGACGCUCUAUUCAGUUUGGAUGCUUUACGCCCAGAACGCAGAACCUAUAAAACUUUCAGGAAUACAAAUUGGGACCUAUAUUGCAAGAAACUUCGAUCAGCUCUUCCAACCGCACCCAACAGAGACUCGAUCUUACCACCGUCGUGGCUUUGCGUGUAGGACUACUCUUGAGAGCUCCUGUUCUUCGAAAACUCAGAAAGGAAAAAAGAAACAUCUUUGAUGGAUAUCGGAGCUAACAGAGAUCAGAUGUUCGAGCAGCAGACCUUUCAACAAACCCCGUAGAAUUUACUCUGGAGACGAUUGGGUGAAGAAAGCUAAGAGAGCCUGCGAAAGUGUACCUGUCAUUAGUCCUCACGGAAAGCUACUCCACUAGCUCAUCUAUGGAAUGCUGAUGGUAAAUGGACCGUGAGCAGUGAGCAAUCGUUGAAGCUACUCCUAGAUGAUCACUUACGUCGAACCACUCGGCUGAAGAAGUACCACUGGGGAGUUGAGAGGACUGUUCAGCCUUCUUGGGCCUUUCGGUUGAACGUCACCCGGGUGAACUGAAACCCUUCAAGAUUCCUGUCCCUUAUGGCAUUAUUCCGGCGCAAUUGUAAACUACCGGUAAACGUUUAAGCGCCCAGCAUGCCUACAGCAAAUUCAAAUCGAUAAAUACCUCUACUCGAUGUAGUGUCAUGGCAGAAGAGAGCUCAUAUGCACAAGAAAUUUUCUGUAGGCAGCUUUUUCGACGUCGAGGGGGCAUUCAGCAAUGUGCGUUCACAGGCAAUGAUCAAAGCCUUCGAAAAGUUUGAGGUGAAAUCGAACCUCAGCGUUCUUUUCUGUGACAGAACGGUCAUAGCGGUGUGGGGUAGUGCACAAUGGUGGGAUACUUUUCCCAUUGCUCUUGGUGAUAAUGAACUACUUAAGGAACUCGAAGAACGAGCCUGUCGGGUGACAGCCUGCGUAACACGACGUUGCUUUUAGUUUCUUUCUUCUAAGUACCGUCUACGAGCUAACUCACGAGUACCUCAGCGUGGUAUCCAAGUAGGCGAUAGAAGCGGCUUAGCUGUAAACCAAAGUAAAAAAUAUAAUGGUUUUAUUUACUUUGAGGUACAAAAUCCCAGACGUCCCUCUCCCCUAUUUCCAAGGCUCGCGCCUUAACCUGUUGCUAAGGUAAAAUACCUGGAGCUUAUUCUUGAUAGAAAGCUUCUUUUAGGGAGGUAAGCAUUUAAUCUAACAGCAGAUAUUGGCAUUGAACUCGUUAACUCUGCGCUCAAUGUUAGUCAAGGAGGGUCUGUCCUCACUUAGAUUAACAUAAUGCUACUUCAUCAUCAGACUCGUUUGGGUGCCUUUGGCACAGUAGAAUUACUGUAAACUAGCUUAGCCGACAAGCUAGUCACCCGUACCCUGCUCACAUCGGAGUAGGUACGAAUCGGAUCUCCAUUGUCAUCGUGCGCUCUUGCACUGGACCUAUGCACCUCGCGUGCGCUUUGCAGGCGUUGGUCGAUGUUCAGCGGCUGUGCGACUACCAGAUCCUUCUGGCCUAGAGUAAAACGAGUUCUAACUGGAGAUUGUCGGCGGACGCAAAUUGUAAAAGUUGUAUGGAAGAAGAUGAGGUGGAAACAUGCGGUCAUUUUCCCCUCCAUUGUCCAGCUUUCACAAGACUGAGGCAGAUAUAUCUCGGCAGUGAUAUCUCGGACGCUAUGUUGGUUUAUGAGGUCUUUAUGACAAAUUUUUAUAGGAGUUCUAAGUGCCAUAACGGACCGGAGUUAAUAGCUGUCCAAGUGAAAUCCUCUUUUCACAAUCGACCUAGGAGAGAGAAUCGAAUUAACUUAACAUAACCAAAAAAAGAAAUCAUCCCCAGCGAAUUAUUUCCAUCAAAUUUUAUUGUAGAUAUAGUUCUUCACUUAAUACCAAGUUUCGAUCAAAAAUUUUAAGUGAUUAGAAUACGUAAAAUAUAUUCACCAAUCUAUACUGUCCUCACUGCUGUUGAAGAUUUGUGAAACAACUGCUUUUGCCAUUAAAAUAUUCACAUCCUUUAAUGUUUAUUAAAAGAAAAAAUUGUAAAGCCAUAUUGUGUUAUAAAAGUGAUGAUUUAAUGGAAAUAAUGCACGCAUUUUUUUUACUUUAAGCGCAAAGCAAUCGAACCAGUCAAUAUGGAGCAAAUUCAACAAGGUCUAAGGUUUGACAAAAGUAUGUACAUAAAUAUUGGUAUUAUAUGCAUUA